UACGUAGGAAGCGAGCGUUAUCCGGAUUUAUUGGGCGUAAAGAGGGUGUAGGCGGUUUUGCAAGUCGGAUGUCAAAUCUCCCGGCUCAACUGGGAGAGACCAUUCGAAACUGCGAGACUAGAGGGCAGCAGAGGGAAACGGAAUUCCCGGUGUAGUGGUGAAAUGCGUAGAUAUCGGGAGGAACACCAGUGGCGAAAGCGGUUUCCUGGGCUGUACCUGACGCUGAGACCCGAAAGCGUGGGGAG
rnacentral:rRNA from 1 species